rnacentral:rRNA from 1 species
AAUAGAUACCCAGGUAGUCCACGCCCUAAACGAUGUCAACUAGCUGUUGGGGCCUUCGGGCCUUGGUAGCGCAGCUAACGCGUGAAGUUGACCGCCUGGGGAGUACGGUCGCAAGAUUAAAACUCAAAGGAAUUGACGGGGACCCGCACAAGCGGUGGAUGAUGUGGAUUAAUUCGAUGCAACGCGAAAAACCUUACCUACCCUUGACAUGUCUGGAAUCCUGAAGAGAUUUAGGAGUGCUCGCAAGAGAACCGGAACACAGGUGCUGCAUGGCUGUCGUCAGCUCGUGUCGUGAGAUGUUGGGUUAAGUCCCGCAACGAGCGCAACCCUUGUCAUUAGUUGCUACGAAAGGGCACUCUAAUGAGACUGCCGGUGACAAACCGGAGGAAGGUGGGGAUGACGUCAAGUCCUCAUGGCCCUUAGUGGGUAGGGCUUCACACGUCAUACAAUGGUCGGGACAGGAGGGUCGCCCAACCCGGCGGAGGGGGAGCCAAUCCCGAACGAAACCCGAUCGUAGUCCGGAUCGCAGUCUGCAACUCGA